AGUGAAUGCUGGCGGUAGGCCUAACACAUGCAAGUCGAACGGCAGCACAGGAGAGCUUGCUCUCUAGGUGGCGAGUGGCGGACGGGUGAGGAAUACAUCGGAAUCUGCCCAGUCGUGGGGGAUAACGUAGGGAAACUUACGCUAAUACCGCAUACGACCUUCGGGUGAAAGAGGGGGAUCGCAAGACCUCUCGCGAUUGGAUGAGCCGAUGUCGGAUUAGCUAGUUAGCGGGGUAAUGGCCCACCAAGGCGACGAUCCGUAGCUGGUCUGAGAAGAUGAUCAGCCACACUGGAACUGAGACACGGUCCAGACUCCUACGGGAGGCAGCAGUGGGGAAUAUUGGACAAUGGGCGCAAGCCUGAUCCAGCCAUACCGCGUGGGUGAAGAAGGCCUUCGGGUUGUAAAGCCCUUUUGUUGGGAAAGAAAUCUUUCAGGCUAAUACCCUGGGAGGAUGACGGUACCCAAAGAAUAAGCACCGGCUAACUUCGUG
rnacentral:rRNA from 1 species